rnacentral:piRNA from 1 species
UCGAAGGGAGAACGUGGUUCCUCACUGCCGU